AUGGUUCCGGGUGUGUGUGGCGAUCACGCUCUGUGUUUCAAUAAACAGGGAAGUUACUACUGCAACUGUAAUGAAGGAUUUCAGUCAACACCACCCAACUUCACAGUGACAACAGGACAGUGUUUGGACAUCGAUGAGUGUUCAGAUCCAGAUAUUAUCAGGGCGGAUACAGCUGCAAAUGUCACCAGGGUUACAGUAACUAUGGAAAUAACCAGUCAAAAUGCACUGAGAUUGUGCAUUUCUGUCUGGUUAAUGAAUGAGUCUCAUUUGUCCAUGAUGUCACCCAGUUUCUGGAGAACAGAUCAGCUGUUAUUCUGAUCAUAUGUUUGAAUGCCCAUUUCCUCUUUUUUUCUUCUAAAAUAUAAUUCAGAAAAUAUUAGGUGUCUUGUUUUUUUAGUUGUUCAUGAAAACAGAAUGUGCUAAACUCUCUUCAUUUUAUUUCUAAUGUGCUUUAUGGUAUGACAAAUCUUGUAAUGUGUUGCCAAAGCAUUUAUAAUGUGUACGAUGAAUCUUGAACAGAUGAGGACACAUUAUGAAAUGGUAAAUAAAAAGAAAGUGAAACAAGCA
ensembl:lncRNA